GGGUUGUGAGGUUAAGCGACUAAGCGUACACGGUGGAUGCCCUGGCAGUCAGAGGCGAUGAAGGACGUGCUAAUCUGCGAUAAGCGUCGGUGAGGUGAUAUGAACCGUUAUAACCGGCGAUUUCCGAAUGGGGAAACCCAGUGUGUUUCGACACACUAUCAUUAACUGAAUCCAUAGGUUAAUGAGGCGAACCGGGGGAACUGAAACAUCUAAGUACCCCGAGGAAAAGAAAUCAACCGAGAUUCCCCAGUAGCGGCGAGCGAACGGGGAGGAGCCCAGAGCCUGAAUCAGUGUGUGUGUUAGUGGAAGCGUCUGGAAAGGCGCGCGAUACAGGGUGACAGCCCCGUACACAAAAAUGCACAUAUUGUGAGCUCGAUGAGUAGGGCGGGACACGUGGUAUCCUGUCUGAAUAUGGGGGGACCAUCCUCCAAGGCUAAAUACUCCUGACUGACCGAUAGUGAACCAGUACCGUGAGGGAAAGGCGAAAAGAACCCCGGCGAGGGGAGUGAAAAAGAACCUGAAACCGUGUACGUACAAGCAGUGGGAGCCUCUUAAUGGGGUGACUGCGUACCUUUUGUAUAAUGGGUCAGCGACUUAUAUUCUGUAGCAAGGUUAACCGAAUAGGGGAGCCGAAGGGAAACCGAGUCUUAACUGGGCGUUAAGUUGCAGGGUAUAGACCCGAAACCCGGUGAUCUAGCCAUGGGCAGGUUGAAGGUUGGGUAACACUAACUGGAGGACCGAACCGACUAAUGUUGAAAAAUUAGCGGAUGACUUGUGGCUGGGGGUGAAAGGCCAAUCAAACCGGGAGAUAGCUGGUUCUCCCCGAAAGCUAUUUAGGUAGCGCCUCGUGAAUUCAUCUCCGGGGGUAGAGCACUGUUUCGGCAAGGGGGUCAUCCCGACUUACCAACCCGAUGCAAACUGCGAAUACCGGAGAAUGUUAUCACGGGAGACACACGGCGGGUGCUAACGUCCGUCGUGAAGAGGGAAACAACCCAGACCGCCAGCUAAGGUCCCAAAGUCAUGGUUAAGUGGGAAACGAUGUGGGAAGGCCCAGACAGCCAGGAUGUUGGCUUAGAAGCAGCCAUCAUUUAAAGAAAGCGUAAUAGCUCACUGGUCGAGUCGGCCUGCGCGGAAGAUGUAACGGGGCUAAACCAUGCACCGAAGCUGCGGCAGCGACACUAUGUGUUGUUGGGUAGGGGAGCGUUCUGUAAGCCUGUGAAGGUGGCCUGUGAGGGUUGCUGGAGGUAUCAGAAGUGCGAAUGCUGACAUAAGUAACGAUAAAGCGGGUGAAAAGCCCGCUCGCCGGAAGACCAAGGGUUCCUGUCCAACGUUAAUCGGGGCAGGGUGAGUCGACCCCUAAGGCGAGGCCGAAAGGCGUAGUCGAUGGGAAACAGGUUAAUAUUCCUGUACUUGGUGUUACUGCGAAGGGGGGACGGAGAAGGCUAUGUUGGCCGGGCGACGGUUGUCCCGGUUUAAGCGUGUAGGCUGGUUUUCCAGGCAAAUCCGGAAAAUCAAGGCUGAGGCGUGAUGACGAGGCACUACGGUGCUGAAGCGACAAAUGCCCUGCUUCCAGGAAAAGCCUCUAAGCAUCAGGUAACAUCAAAUCGUACCCCAAACCGACACAGGUGGUCAGGUAGAGAAUACCAAGGCGCUUGAGAGAACUCGGGUGAAGGAACUAGGCAAAAUGGUGCCGUAACUUCGGGAGAAGGCACGCUGAUAUGUAGGUGAAGCGACUUGCUCGUGGAGCUGAAAUCAGUCGAAGAUACCAGCUGGCUGCAACUGUUUAUUAAAAACACAGCACUGUGCAAACACGAAAGUGGACGUAUACGGUGUGACGCCUGCCCGGUGCCGGAAGGUUAAUUGAUGGGGUUAGCGGUAACGCGAAGCUCUUGAUCGAAGCCCCGGUAAACGGCGGCCGUAACUAUAACGGUCCUAAGGUAGCGAAAUUCCUUGUCGGGUAAGUUCCGACCUGCACGAAUGGCGUAAUGAUGGCCAGGCUGUCUCCACCCGAGACUCAGUGAAAUUGAACUCGCUGUGAAGAUGCAGUGUACCCGCGGCAAGACGGAAAGACCCCGUGAACCUUUACUAUAGCUUGACACUGAACAUUGAGCCUUGAUGUGUAGGAUAGGUGGGAGGCUUUGAAGUGUGGACGCCAGUCUGCAUGGAGCCGACCUUGAAAUACCACCCUUUAAUGUUUGAUGUUCUAACGUGGGCCCCUUACCGGGGUUGCGGACAGUGUCUGGUGGGUAGUUUGACUGGGGCGGUCUCCUCCUAAAGAGUAACGGAGGAGCACGAAGGUUGGCUAAUCCUGGUCGGACAUCAGGAGGUUAGUGCAAUGGCAUAAGCCAGCUUGACUGCGAGCGUGACGGCGCGAGCAGGUGCGAAAGCAGGUCAUAGUGAUCCGGUGGUUCUGAAUGGAAGGGCCAUCGCUCAACGGAUAAAAGGUACUCCGGGGAUAACAGGCUGAUACCGCCCAAGAGUUCAUAUCGACGGCGGUGUUUGGCACCUCGAUGUCGGCUCAUCACAUCCUGGGGCUGAAGUAGGUCCCAAGGGUAUGGCUGUUCGCCAUUUAAAGUGGUACGCGAGCUGGGUUUAGAACGUCGUGAGACAGUUCGGUCCCUAUCUGCCGUGGGCGCUGGAGAACUGAGGGGGGCUGCUCCUAGUACGAGAGGACCGGAGUGGACGCAUCACUGGUGUUCGGGUUGUCAUGCCAAUGGCACUGCCCGGUAGCUAAAUGCGGAAGAGAUAAGUGCUGAAAGCAUCUAAGCACGAAACUUGCCCCGAGAUGAGUUCUCCCUGACUCCUUGAGAGUCCUGAAGGAACGUUGAAGACGACGACGUUGAUAGGCCGGGUGUGUAAGCGCAGCGAUGCGUUGAGCUAACCGGUACUAAUGAACCGUGAGGCUUAACCUUACAACGCCGAAG
rnacentral:rRNA from 1 species